rnacentral:rRNA from 1 species
CCAAAUAGAGGUGAAUUUUUGUUAAUAAUUUUAUUGGGUUUCCCUUCUUCUGUAAGUUUAAAUCUAGCUUAAAAUAUAAGAUUUAUUUAUUGUAUAUAAAAUCAUAGAAUUAAUUAAAAAUUAUUUAGUAUAAAAAAUUUUAUAACUAGUUAAGCUAGUAAAAGUAAAUAAAUGGUCUAUUAGGUGCCAGCAUUCGCGGUUAUACCUAUAUUUAGUAUAUUGUUCAUGGCCCAGGGUUCUUCAACAAUUAAAAAAAAAUUUUAGGGGUAAAAUCCUGCUUAUCUUUUAAUAUACUAAUACCUCAUAAGUUAACUUAUAAACAGGGAUUAGAUACCCCUUUAUAUAAAAUAAACCAAUGCCUAGGGUAGUAAAUGUUAUACAACCCCAAACCCAAAGAUUUUGGCGGCAAUCAACCUUUCCAGAGAGACCUGUUCGUUAAUUUGACAAUCCACAUUGUAUCUUACUUUUACUAAAACUUGUAUACCGUCAUCUAAAUUUUAUCUUAAGAUAAAUAUUUUAAAGGUAACAGAAAUGUUAGAUCAACGCGCAGUGUAUAUAAAAGCUCUUAAUGGGUCUCAAUUUAAAAUAAAUAGAAAAAGUUUUAAACCCCCUUUAGAAAGAGGAUUUGGAUGUAAUAAUUUUUUAAAAUAACAUUAUGAUUAAGCCAUUGAUUGUGUACAUAUCGCCCGUCGCCCUCGACACGAGGUAAGUCGUAACAUAGUAGAAGUACUAGAAAGUGUUUCUUUACUUAU